GUUGUCUACAGUGUUCAGUAUAGUAACAUUCUGUACAGGUUUGUGUCCUGGGAGCAGUAGGCCGUACCAGGUAGCCUAGAAUGCAUCUGCAUCGUUAAGCAAUGCAUGAUUGUACUUUGAACCUGGCCCGGUGCUCAGAGCUGUGCAGGAAUUGGAAAGGCUGGAGUACCAGUGAUCACUGCUCACAGCAGCCUCUAACUCCUAGGCUCAAGCUAUCCUCCCACCUCAGCCUCUUGAGUAACUGGGACUGCAGGUGUGUACCACCAUGCCUGGAUAAGGGGCCAUGUUUUCUUCCAACACAGGCAUUCUGAUCUUGUCCUUUUAAUGGAAAGGCCAUCAGAAGUUUGGGAUAUGGAUUCCGUAGGAAUGAAGUUUAAAACACAAAAUGACUCCAGCUAACAUGUGUUCAAGGGCUUACUAAGUGCCAGGCUUUGUACUAAGUGCUUAAUAUGAAGUAUGUUCGGACACCAUCAAAACAACGUUAUGAAAGACAGUCUUCCUCCCUUAUCUGUGGGGGAUGCUUUCCAAGACCCCCCAGUGGACGCCUGAAGUCACAGAUAGUACCAAACCCUAUGUACGUUUUUUCCUGUACAGUAAAGGGCAGAUAGUGUGGCCAAUGUGGACACCCUGGACCAAGGGAGGACUCACAUCCCGGUGGGACAGAGCAGGAUGGCUCAGGAUUUCAUCACACUACUCGGAACAGUAUACGAUUUAAAACGUACAAAUUGUUUCUUUCUGGAAUUUUCUAGUUUCAGAAUAUUUUUGGACCGCAGUUGACUGCAGGUAGCAGAAACCUAGGAAAACGAAACUGCCAGUGGGGGACCACUGUAUUCCUGUUAUCAUACCCGUUUUGCACAGGGAGAAACCGAGGCUCCCAGAGGUUAAAAACCUGCCCAAGAUCACACAGGUAAGCAAGUGGCUGAGUCAGGGCUCAGACGCGGGCCCUGAAGCCCCAUCUCAGCUGCUGUGGAUAUUGCCUGCUGCAAGCUCACUGUGUCAGCACCCACCAAAGAUAUACGCCGUGGAAGGGCCCAGUGAGAAAGCAGUGACCAUGUUUUGGAUUUCUCUCCAGGUAAAUAUUUUUUCAAACAGGCCUUCCAUGUGGAAAGGAAUCACCAGAUCAAAUACAGAAUAGCCAGUUAAAUUGGGUGUUUAGAUAAACAAUGAAUAACUUUUUUUACUGUAAGUAUGCGCUGACUUGCUUGUGCUGAGAAGAGUUACUCAUUGUUUAUCUGCAGUUCAAAUUGACCUGGACGUCUUAUAUUUUAUCUGCUCUGUCUCUGGCCACGCUGCUGGGCAGGCUUGACCACACACAUCUGCGGAACUCUGGGUCUCCGCCGUACGAGUGGCAUAGACGCCAUCCUCAAUGCAGAUCCCCAUCAAACCUGGAAAAAAUAAAAUAAGGCCUCCCAGGUAACUGUGAGACCUAUAGGUGCUUGUUAGUUUCCUAAGCUGCUCAAGCUGCCGUGCUCUGACAGCUGUACUUGUGCUUUGCGGCGUAAUUUACAGGCCCGCUGGAGGGGAUGGCAGGGUGGGACCCUGCUCCUCUUAUUUGCUGCCAAGAUUUGGGGCUACCAGUUGCUCUUGUCAAUCUUUGGCUUAAUCAUUUAGCAGUUGUAAAGGACUCAUUAAAAACGCCCAAGUUUAUUGGAAACACCUCCCGCCGCUCGGAGGCAGGCCAAAUCGGGAGCCCGUGUACCCACAUGUUCAGCUUGAGCCCAACAAAAUUGCUGACUUUAAUUACACUACUUGGUUUAGAAGGUGGUGAGAGUGGGGGGUUGGGGGAGGCAUGGAUGAUGAGUGGGAAGCGAAGCGGAGGAGCGGCCCUGGAAUCUCAGGGCCAGGUCUUCAGAGGGUGCGAUGCUGUGUGCUGACCCCCAUCCCAAACCCCCACCCCACUGGUUUCAGGCUCAGGCCAGCCCCUGUCGCGCCCCAGAGGUGUGCCUGCCCCUCUCCAGACCUCCAGGCUCUUCCUGCCUCCCUCAUGCCUCUGGUGGGCCUGGUGAGUGUGGCUGUUCUCUUUUGUCUGAGUACUCAUUGCCUGGAUUUUAUUACUUGAAUAAAUAUC